UUUAGAAACAGUUGGCCGUCCGCGGUUUUUUUGUGUAGUGCUCCGCACCAUCGAGUGUUCGAAGCACCACGAGAAGCUGCAGAUGGAGAAGCUUGUUU
rnacentral:pre_miRNA from 13 species